CUCUUAGAUGUCCUGGGCUGCACGCGCACCACACUGGCACGGUCAACGAGCUGGGCUUCUUUUAUGAUGUCCUGCUUAGAAAUGAGACGGGAAAUCUUGUUAAACCGUGCCGUGUCUGGGAUAGAUGAUUGCGAUUAUUUGCCUUAAACGAGGAAUGCCUAGUAUAGGCACUUCAUCAGAGUGCCUUGAUUAUGUCCCUGCCAUUUGUACACACCGCCCGUCGUUGCUACCGAUUGGCUGUAUCAUAGAGGCCUUAGGAGUUACUCCGCAAGAGCUUGUCUCGAGCGGUUGUGAUGAAUUUGGCCAAUACGUUUCUGUUAGAGGAAGCAAAANUCGUANCA
rnacentral:rRNA from 1 species